UGGAACACUACCAGUAGGAUGAUGUCUGUAUGUAGAGGUGCAGAUGACAUGUUCUCGGAAUACAGAGGAAGGCACCACUGCCUCUACCUUGAGAGUAUAUCACAGAGAAAGAUUUAUAUUUGGACUAGAUGGCUGAGAGAUGAGUAGGAGUUUGAUAGAAGAGAGCAUGGAAACUGGCUGUACAACGGCAGAAAGGGCAGGAAAGGCUGAGGAGAAUUGGCCUCUGGGGGUGGGUUAUAGAUAUGGGCCUGGGCACCACAUUCUGGAGCUUGCAAUGGGGUAUGUAAAAGCUUAGAUGGGAUGGUCUUUUCCUCUCCUCCCAUGGGUUCAUAGUUGGCCCACCUCACUCACUGCUGCAAACAAGCUGCCCCCAUUUGAGAGAGAGCUGGAGUGGGGUCUCUAAGCCUCCAGCAACCACUUAGGAGCUAGCCUUGAUGCCCCAGCAGCUAACCUCAUGGAGACCCCAUAGUCCAUCCUAUCUUGGGAAGACAAUGCAGGCAUGGGGAAGGUAACAUUCCCCUCCAGACUCCAGAGGCUCCAAGGAGCCUCUCUCUCUCUUCAAGAAAAGAAAUAGUCACUGAGCCACGGGUGGAGGUGAACAUGGUUUGGGACCAACAGGCGGCUGGAUGGUUUCACCUCCACGGUCAUACAAUGGUACUGGGAGAUGAAUGGGGGUAGGGCGAUCUAGAAUUAGUUCAACCUCAACUUCCAGUGGGGUGGUGCUUGGAGUUGACUCAUUGUGGCCCCAUUUAAUAUUCGCAGUCACCAGUUGGGGUAGGUGGGACUGUUGCUCCCAUUUCACAGAUCAGGACAGGAUAGUUUGCUAGAGGUCACAGGACUAGUUGGGGAAAGGAAAGGGUGUCAGGUAGGAUUUUAACCUUAGAGCCUCACGUUUUCUUAGGCUCUUUCAGGGGGACCUUGGGCAAAUUCCGUUCUCUCUUGGUGGGGGGGGGUCUCCAUUCCUUAUUUGUAAAUUAAGGAGUUCUUCCAGUUUGUGAUUCUCUGUACUUUAACUUGGAUAGGUUUUGUAAAAUGGGGAUUAUGGGAACCCCACUAUAUUUAAGUAGAGUAGGUCUGGGGUGAGGCCCAGUAAUCUGCAGCUUUGAACAAACCUCGGCAUCCACAAAACUGGCUGAGAUACUCAGGGAAAGUUUAUGAUGCAUGAAAAUCUUAUUGCGAGCUGUCCAAAACACAUAACACUGAGCUCCAUCUGCAGAGAUCCUGUUUUGAUACCCUUGGUUGGACUGUGGCUGGGUAAUUUGCAUUUGUCAGAAGUGAGGCCAGUCACCUGGUCAACAACCCCUCCUGUCGCUCUGUGACCCUCCCCGGGCGUCCGCGGUGCUUCUUUACUUGCAUCUUGUGGGAAUGACAUCUGCGCAGGCAGCCCCUUUUUAGCACCGCUCCUCGCACGCGAGCCCAGCCCUUAAAAACCCAGCCCAGCCCCGGGUUUGCAGAUACUCAGGGCAGGGGAAGGCGCCUUUCCGCAUUUGGUGUAGUCCCGCAUGCUGCCAUUUGAUGUCGCGGGAGAACGCGCCUACAGGGAUAGGGCGGGGCAAGGAGGCGAGGAAGGAAAAAAAGCGACAAGUGAAGACUGACAUCCAUUAAGGUCAAUGGUAGCUCAAUCUUCGGUUCUCUGACUCCCAAGCUUCCCAUUCUCUUAGGAGGCUGCAUUUGUGGCGCUAAAAAAAGGGAUGGGCGUGGGAGAUUCCAGGACAUGUGCUCGCUGAAGAUACAACUGUUAGUCCAAGAUAUGCUUCCUUAUGAACUGACGGUGACUCCCAAAUUCAUAUGUUGAAGACCCAACUCCCAACGGACUUGGAGGUCCACGAAGGGCUAGAUAAGGGAAGCUGGUUUGCGUUCAGGGAAGCGGCAGAGGAGGGAAGCUGGCAGCUGGGCUGUGCUAAGAUGACCUUAGCCCCAGACCCUGGAUGAACAUCCUCUUCUGGAUACAGGACCUGCCCGAGGCAUCAUUUUGAAAUAGUCAAAUUUUAUUUGCUUUGUGUUCUUUCAUCACAUAUAUUAGCUUUUGCCUCUUGAGUGCCAAAAUAUAGCUGUUUUUAUAUUACCCCAAGUUCCUGAGUUUAUUUUUUAGGUAAGAAUUUUCCACCCUUUGAAAUCCCAAAUGACAUGUUUACUCUCUUUCUCAGACCAUGCUUUCAUUUCAGUCAAUGUAACAAAUCAGCCAGGUCUCAGGAGUUUAGAAAUCUGAUUGGAUUGAUUUAUACUAAGCGGUAACAGAUCUACCACAGCCUUCUAAGAUGAAUUGGAGUUUCUUAAAAACUCCAUGACCUACACUAUUCUUUAGGUGCUGGAAUUGCACACUUUCAAAUCACAUCAAGUAUAAACAUUCAAUUUUGUGGGGGGUUAUUUUCUAUGGAGAGAUGAGGUGUUGAUUAAUACUGGUAGGCUUUACUCCAAAAGACAAUUCUAUUAAGAUUUCUUUUGUUUUUUAAAAUCUAGACUAUCAGAAGGAGUAAAAAUGCCAAUUUUUUUUUUCUUUUUGCUGUGGCUACAAUGUUCACAGUAAUCCAAGCUCCAAUGACAGGGGGGGAGAGCGGAGCCAAAUGAGGCCCCGUUUUUUUCAUGAAGUGUAUUUUUCUUUUUUUUUUUGAGAUCAGGGGUUCAGAAAUUGUAAUAUAAGUGUUCAAUUAUAAAGUUAUUAUGAUAGUGCAUGGCACGUGUCCUUUCCAUCAUCUGGAUUUUUCCACUUUUACUGUAUGGCUCACUCUUACUCACUCUCCAGUCUUCACCUUAGUGGUCACUUCCCCCUGAAAUGCCCUUGACCCCUUAAGAUAGCAGUGCUGCAAACAUCGUAAGCUGAAUUUAUAGCCAGACUCACAGGCAACACCUUAUCUUGUGCCAUGCUUCACUAAUGAUGAGGAAGUGAGAAAGAGUAGGGGAAAGGAGGCACAACAAAUGUCAUUUCCAUAACAGAGGCCUCAAGGCCAGCCCACUUGAUUCUCUGGAGAUCCUUUUCUGCAUAACAAUGAUGAAAGGUAGCCUAAGAAAGCCAUUUGUCUGAGGCUUCACCUUUGAUACCUUGCUAGACACUAAACUAAGAGACUGAUUCCAUUCUUUAGUAUAGCCAUUGCCUCAUAAAUCCAUACAUAACAGGGGUAUUUCUUUCCAAUAAAGUAUCCAUAUAGAUUAGGUAUAUUCUAUUGACAAUUUUAUUAAAGUUCUUCAUUUAUCUUCCAGAUAGUAGAUUCUAUCAACCAAGUUUCAUAAAGAGUUCUGAUUCCCAGAGGUAAGAACUGAGCCUGGCUUUCUAGUUACAUGUUUAUUGGUAACUCUGUCCUUCCCUACAACACUUAAGCAUAUUUAAAGACUAUACCCUCCCCUGCCUCCAGCUUGGAUUGUAAGCUCCUCAAGAGCAUGGCUGUGUCCUUUAACAUCAAGUCUCCAUGUGAGAAAGAGUUCCUGCCAUAUCACAAAUGCCCAAUCAACAUUUGUAAGUGAAGAAAGCUAUUCUGUGGUGUCUGCUUUAAUAUUAAGAGAUGGCUUGCCCAAGAUUGCUAAGCAGCUUCAUUGUCUACAAUGGAACAAGAUUCUGUGGGUAGCAGUUCCAUUGGUGCCACUGACAGGAGGCCUCAAGGAAACCUAGUGCACUAGUCUUUCUGAUGACGCCUUGAUUUUCUUCCAGCACAGAGCCGUAAAAUGGAAUAUUCUUCUGACACAGAUACUUCAUGCAUCGCAUGAUCAGCCGUGUCCCAUUGCCUCUCCUUCGGUAUUUUUCCACACUGUAGCCCAUUCCUAUUUCACAAGAAGGGUCCAUGGUUACCCAUGAGACCGGGACCCCCUCUGGGCCCAGCAUACAGGCUGCUGGCAGGGCUCCUAGGCAGCGCUUGAUGUAACGCAGGCUCCUCUUAUUCAUCCCUAGCUUCCAGUUGUCAUUUACCAGCCCAGAAUAAGACACAUUCAGCUGGGCAUACUUAAAGUUCGGAGUCUCGCUGUAGAAAACAAAAAGAAAGACAACAACUUUCAUCCCCACUCCUGUAAUUUCUAGGUGCCCUUCCAUUCUAGAGAUCCCAGGCCCUCUUCUUGUUAAAAGACCCACCAUUGCAAAGUGGCGUAUUUUGACCACUGACAACCUUUAUUCAUCCCAAGGAAUGAAUUCAUCCUCUCUUCAUUCCAAAACUGAUUUAUGUGAAUUACAAAAAUGUACAAGGAAUAGCAAUUAUAAAUGAUCAGCACAUGUUUUUUGUACCUCUCCAAUUCGUCAUCUGGGUGGCCUGUCUCAGCCCAGCUUCCAAGCUUGCUUUUAUUGGUGGCAUAGAGCUUCAGGAUAUCUUCCGUAACAAAGAGGAGUGCUCUCGAAUGCUCUACCUUCACUGAAUUUGAAAAUGCAGCUGCUCUUAUCCCCUCACCUAAACUUUCUUGAAAACCUGAGAGAAAGCCAAGAAAGCAAUAUUGUCAGACAUGCAGUUCUCUACUUACACUGCUCACACCUGAUUAAUGCCUCAGUGCUUAGUAGUUCUCAAAGUUGAGUUUACACCACAAUCAGCUAUAGUCCUUGGCACACCACAGAUUGCUCCACCUCUCCCAGCUCUGAGAAUUUCAAGGAAUUUACAUUUCUAAUGAGCUCUCAGGUGAUGCUAAUGCUGUUAGUUGAAGACACAAUUUGAGAAGCACAGCUGCUUGCCCAUUUCUUCAGACUUGUUACCUUGGAUUUGGAGUUUCUGUUUCCAGUUUAUGAUCUCAGAAUUUUUCAAAACUUCUUGUGAUUUUUGAGGGUCUUUGGAGAAUACACGAUAUACAUUAGUGUAUGAAUCCAUGUCAUCAGUCAUCUCCUGUGUAGGAUGGUGAAAGGUCAGAUCAUUCCCUUGAACUUUUUCUUCUCCUCUCACUGAUUGCAAUUAUUAGAAAAAUGAAAAUUCAAAAGAAAGUUUUAGCACUAGCCCACGAUGGCUGCAGUUGGGCACGUGGAUAAUAUAAGUGAGACCUAUAAGCUACUGCUGACCUCUUACCUGUGUAACUGGAGUUUGUUAAAUAUUGAACACUGACAGUUACUGGUUAUAAACCUGCUUCUCAGAUACAUAACAAAGACAGGAUGAAAUCAGUCACCCUCCACCAGGCCUUAAGAUGCCUCACUUUUCUCCCUACCCACUCAACUGCACACUUACCUUAUUUUAUAUAUAGCAUCACAGAGCGCCCAGCAGAAGCAAAGGAAUGCAACAAUUGCUUCUCUCCCUGCUUCUCUCACCUCCUGGACCACACAUAUCCCCCUGUUAUAUAUACUGUGCCCCACAUAACCCCCUGUGGGACAUAUUCUGGGUUGUACUGAGUCCGUGUUGAUAGGGUUAAGUUCUUAAGCUCGGCACAAGAUGAAUUUAACCAUGAUUUCUCUAAGUUAUAGUGCCUACUGUUUCACCAGACACCUACAAUCUAUAUUGUUCUAGAAUCUGCAGUGUCCAGGGUUUGAGCAAGAUACUUUAGUGAAUAUAAACAUUAAGGAGACAUUGCCUUUUCCCAAGGCUACAGGAUAUCAGCCUCUUUGAAGAGUGACAUGGCCUUUACAGCCAGAAGCCCACAAAAUAGAAUGAAGUAACUGAAUUUUCCGUAGCACUCUGCGCAAUUUAUGUGGUGUUAGACUCAUGGGUUUUAAAGAAAGAUACUUGUGAUCUCAUUCUCACAAGCCACAAACUUCAUGGGACGAUGAGUAUCUGUUUAUCAGGGGAAAUAUAAACAAUAAGUGUGAGUUUUAGCAGUGCAUGUAUUAAUAUUAUGUUGAAAAUUGUAUUGUUAAGGAGUAAAAGAGAAAAUAGUGUAACUAAUUUUAAAGAAACCUUCAAGAAUUUGAGGAUGCUUUUAUAAAUGCAAGUUCCUGAAUAUGGCCAAAACACAACACCUCAGUGAAUUUAAAAGAGUAGAUGUUUUAAAAGACCGGAUUUUAAAAGAAUGACUGAACAUAGCCAAGUAAAUAUUCAAAGAAUUAUAAAAAGAAUAUCAAAGUAGACUAGAAAAUAACAAAUGGAACAAUUUGUAAAAAUGAAAGCCAUAAAUAAUGAAAUGUAGAACAAGACACAGUGCAAAUGAUAUAUAAAGCCAAAAGUUCAUUUUUAAAUGGCAAAAAGAAAGAGCAGAAGAGAGAGAGAGAUAAACUUCUGGUAAGGCAUUUAAAGGAAAUAGAAGAGAAAGAGAAAAAAGAAAAAAAAAAGGCAUAGAGUAUGAGCCAUGAGAAUGGAAACAGAAAAGGAAAAAGACUUAUAAUAGAAGAUUAUAUACUACUCCAAGGCAACAUAUUCACUGAUAAAGAAAUGGAUGUUAUCCCUCAAGAAUAAACUAUCAAAAUUGACUUUCAAAAAAUAGAAAACUUCAAUGAACUAAUAGAAAUAUCGGAAAUGAAAUGAAAUAUCUACCAUUUGAAAAGUGGACAAGAAUUAUGGCUUCCAGCUCCAUCCGUGUUGCUACAAAGGACAAUAUUUUAUUCUUUUCUAUUGCUGUGUAGUAUUCCAUAGGAAUACAUGUACCAAGUUUUUUUAUCCAAUGCACCUUUGAUGGGGAUCUGUGAUGAUUCCAUGUCUUUGCUAUUGUGAACAGUGCAGCAAUGAACAUCCUAGUGCAUGUGUCAUUUUGGUAGAACGAUUCAUUUUCUUUUGGGUAUUUACCUAGUAAUGGCAUUGCUGGGUCGAAUGGCAACUCUCUUUUAAGUUCUCUAAGAAAUUUCCAGACUACUUUCCACAGUGUAAUAAUCCUAAGCAAAUUAAUGCUGUAACAGAAAAUCAAAUAUCACGUUUUCACUCAUAACUGGGAGCUAAGCAUUGAACAUACAUGGACAUAAAUGUGAGAACAAUAGACACUAUGGACUCUAGAGGGUGGAGGGAAAGGGGCUGGGUUAGAAAACUACCUAUCGGGUACUAUGCUCACUACCAGGGUGAUGGGAUCUGUCCAUACUCCAAGACUCAGCAUCAUGCAAUAUUUGCGUGUAACAAAUAUGCACAUGUACCCCCUUUAUCUAAAAGGAAAGUUGAAAUUACAAACUAAAAAGUAGCCAAAAUUAGAUUAUUUUACAUUUCAAUUCUACAUAAGGCAAAACCAAACACAUAAUUUUAAUAGUAGACUUUGGUAACAGAUGAAAAUAUCCUAAUGCCAAAUCUGGUAAAGAAAUAACAAAAAGAGAGUUACUGACCAUAUUGGCUUAUGAAUACAGAUGCAAAAAUUCUGAAUAAAAUAUUCAGUAGCAUAUGAAAAGAAUGUGAACAUGAACAGUUUGUUUUAGAAAGGCCAGAAUGAGUUUGAUCAGAAGAUCUUUUAGGGUAAUAAAUUAAAGGAGGAAAAAAUUACAUGAGUAUAUAAAUUGCCAUAAAAAGACAAAAAUGAAAUAACAUAAAAUCUACCGUUCAUUCUAAAUAUAAUUUCUAUGAAAAUGGGAAAACAGGAAAGUGCUCUAAGCCUGUAAAGACAGAAUUAAAUGUAAUUCCAAAGGUAAGUUUUUAUAGCUAUUUCAUUAAAAUCAGGAAUGAGACAAGGAUAGAACUUUUAUUAUGGCUACUUGGUAUUGUUUUCUUAGGUUGUACAUUAUACAAUAAGGCAAGAAAGUAAAAACCCAUACAAAUAUUGGCAAAGAAGCAGCAAAUUACUUUGUUUAUAGAUUACAGUAUUACACAUUUAGAAAAUAUAAGAGACUUCGACAGAAAACAAAAACAAAUAACACCCCAGGCAAACAAAGAAGAUUUUAAAGCAUAGUGUGACAUAUUUGGAAAUGAAGAAUAUAAAUAGAAAGCAAUAACAAAAUAAUAAUGCUCAGAAAUAGAAAAGGAAAAAUAAUUUAAUAAUCUUAAAAAAUAAUAUAAAAUACCUAAGGGUAAACUUAAUGGAAAAAUCACGUAGUUUACCUCAGGAAAACACUAAUAUUUUACCAGAUGGCAUAGAACAGAAACUGAAAAAAGUGAGAGAAAGACCAUAUUUCUUGAUAAAAAUAUUUAGUAUCACAAAAAUAUUAAUGCUUCCACAAUUGUCUAAAAAAGCUCCUCCAAUACAAAUCACAAUUGCAAUACUUAGUUGGGGAAAUUGGGGAACUGAAAAAUUAGUUUUUGUUCAUAUAGCUCUGAAGUUUAUAAGAAAUAGGAAAGCAAGAAAAAGAUUAGUGAAGGGUGAUUUGCUUUAUUAGAUAUUAAAAUUUGCCACAAAACAAUGAAAUAGCAUGAGAAAAGAUUAGAAACAAAUACAGAAAUAGCUACAAAAAUAUAUAAAAGUUAUAUGACAAAAUAGACAUUUAUGUUUCAGUAGCAGAAUGACUUACUUAAUAAAUAGCACUAACGUAAUUAGCCAGCCAUUCGGGGGAUAAAUAUAAAAGAAUGUUAAUUCAUGCUAUUCAAAAAUAUAUUCCAAAUAGAAUGAAGUUUGAAAUGUCAAAAGUAAAAAUUAACUCACUGUAAGACAAAAUGAAAAAAACAACUUGUACGAUCUUGGUUUAGGAAAAAUCUUCCUAAUUAUUAACAAAAAAACUCCCAAAGCCUCAGGAAUCAUAGUGAAAAAGAUAAUAUAUUUGAUUACAUGAAAAUUAAAAAUUGCUUCAUGUGAAAAUCUAUCAAAUUAGAAAAUAAUUCUAAAUUGGGCAACAAAUUUGUAGCAUACACCUUGUGUUAGUAUCCCUCAUAUCCAAAACACAUAGAGAAUUUUAAGAAUGACACAAAAUCCCAGUGUAAAAAUGGUCAAACAAUAUAAACAGUUCAGAAGUAAACCCAAAAUGACUGAUAAUCAUAUGAAAAUAUAUGUUGAAUAUCACUAGUCAGGGAAAUGCAAAUUAAAUCUACAAUAAGAUGCCACUUUUCACCCACCAGUUUGGCAUAAAGUAGAAGAAGGAUAACAUUCACUGCUGAUGAGAAUGUGGGAAACAAUUCUUCCACAGAUUGCUAAUGGAAAUAAUACUGUGGAAUCCUUUGGGAGGGUAGUCUGGCAGUGCCUACUUAGGAUAAGAUAAGCUCUGACUUGGACUUAUCCCUUUUGGAAACCAAUUGCAUUGAGAAAAGUUUCCAGGAUGUAAAGACAUGUAUACAAGGAUGUUUAUUGAAGCAUUGUUUGUAAUGGCAAAGAAGUAUGAACAAUUUGAACCCAACAGGAGGAGAAUGACUGACUAAAUAGCAUUGCAUUGACUCUAUGGAACGCCACAGUUAUUAAAACAAAUAUGUUAGUGCUGUAUUGAUUCACUCAAAGCAAUGUCCAUAUGUCAAAGGCAAAUUAAAAAGCGAUUACAGAAGAGAUCAUAACUGAAUAUCCGUUUGUGUGUUAAUAUGGCCAAGGACACCGAUUACCCCAAAGGGUAGGAAUGGAGGAGAGGAGGGCAAAGAGGUGAGAGGUUAUUAACUUCUUAAAAUCAUGUUGAAUUUUUCCACUUCUAUAAUCAGCAUAUAUUAUCUUUCUGAUUAGGAACCAACAAAGAAAAAUUAAUAUUUUUCUAGAGAAAUUCUCCUGCAUCUCACCUUAAAAAGGUCUUCUUCAAAAUUGCAUUGAUUUUCAAUACUGAAAGAAACAUGGUAUACUAUGGAAUCAGACUAAGUGAAUGUAUUUCCAAGUAAAUUGCAGCAUAUUUCAUUCUUUCCAUUUUUUUGGUCAUAUAUGUGUGGCAUGGAACUUUUAUAUUUUAAUAUUUUUGUUUGCUGACUCACUAUAUAAAAACUAGCCUUGUUCAAAGCAAUGCAUAUAUGAAGUUACAGCUUGAUGGUACAGUUACAUUGUUAAAAUACACAUAGUGACUACAAAGUUACUGAAGUAAAAAGAACUAUUUGGUUCAUACAGUUAUUUAGCGUAUGACACUUUGAAGAAAUUGGACCAUGGAUCAAGUAAACUAACCAUUAAUCAUCGAUCCGAAAUUGUCAGGAAACCAGGAGAUCAAAAGAACAUCCCUGGGGAAGGUAUUAGGCUCAGCUUAUUAUUAUGUGGGGGCUCAGUGUCUAUACCCACCUGAAGCUGGGCUGGCCAUGAGGCUUCAGUUCACUAAUCAGAUGUGCAUGAAACAGACACAAAAAGGGGAAGUCUUUAGGGCCAAAAAAUAGACCUAGGUUUGUAUUACUAUUUCAGCUUAAUCGUGUAUUCCUUGUGUGUCCUCGGCCAAUAAUGGCUAAUUAUGGUAAAUACUAUUUAGAAUUAUGUGCUAUAUACUAAGUGUUUGACAUGUGGUAUCUCAUUUAAACCUUGUGUAAUCCUCUGAAGAAUGUCCUCCUAUUUUUCCCAUUUUAACAGAUGAUAAAACUCACAGAAGGGCCUAUGGUUAUAUAGCUAGUAAAAGUGGCAGAGUCCGUUGAACUUGAAUUCAGAUUGGGGAAUGCUUUAACAGAUGGUAUCCAGCAGCUACCUGACUGAAUAUUUCUCAGUGUUGUUUCCUCAUCUCUAAAUUAAAGAUAUUAAAGCUCA
rnacentral:lncRNA from 1 species